rnacentral:rRNA from 1 species
GACGCACCGUCCAAACGUUAUUCGGAAUCACUGGGCUUAAAGAGUUCGUAGGCGGUCUGGCAAGUUGGGUGUGAAAUCCCUCGGCCUAACCGAGGAACUGCGCUUGAAACUACCAGACUCGAGGGAGAUAGAGGAAAGCGGAACUGAUGGUGGAGCGGUGAAAUGCGUUGAUAUCGGAAGGAACACCGGUGGCGAAAGCGGCGCGCUGGACCUCUUCUGACGCUGAGGCGCGAAAGCGUGGGGAGCAAACAGG